rnacentral:sRNA from 1 species
CCCAGACCAGACAUGGCUCUGGCUAUUUGCUCAGUAAGCAGGCGAUUUCGGGGGCUGCCGAGGGCCAGGUGCCGCGGCAGGCACUGGAGAAACGGCCGAGACACUGAGUGUGGGGCCCCGGAAUUCAGACCAUGUCAAAGGCUUUGGGAUAGAAACAGUGGUGUGCUGGGUCAGCAGCAGAGUGCCGGCUCUUCAGGAAGUCAGUUCCGGCUCCAAAGGCCGCUGGAAGGAGUCCUGGUUCUUUUCUUUCUGAUUCUUUUGUCUACUGUUUACAUCUUUUAAGGCAAUUGCAUCUGCAAAGGAAUGCCCUGUGUGUGAUUCCUCAAGAUUUCUUUCAGUUGCUUCCGAACCUGACUUGGCUGGACCUCCGGUGCAAUAGAAUUAAAGCGCUUCCUUCUGGGAUUGGAGCUCACAAGCAUUUGAAAACUUUGCUUUUAGAAAGAAAUCCUAUCAAAAUGUUACCUGUGGAGCUGGGGAGCGUAACCACGCUGAAAGCACUGAACCUAAGACACUGCCCUCUGGAAUUCCCUCCUCAGCUCGUUGUGCAGAAGGGAUUGGUGGCUAUCCAGCGCUUCCUGCGGGUGUGGGCAGUAGAACACUCUUUCCCCAGAAAUCCAACUUCUCAAGAGGCUCCACCGGUUAGAGAGAUGACCCUCUGUGACCUCUCGAGCCCAGGACUGGAGUUGUCUGGAGACCACGCGUCUAACCAAGGAGCUGUGAAUGCUCAGGACCCAGA